AAGCCCAUAACAGGAGAGGUAGGAUUCUUAUCUUUCAGUCCUCCAAGCCUCUGCUGCCCUGAAGUGUGACUACUCCAAACUUGAGCUAGUACUAUCA